rnacentral:rRNA from 1 species
UACGUAGGGGGCAAGCGUUGUCCGGAUUUAUUGGGCGUAAAGAGCGUGUAGGCGGUUUGGUAGGUCCGCUGUGAAGACUCGAGGCUCAACCUCGAGACGCCGGUGGAAACCAUCAGACUAGAGUCCGGAAGAGGAGAGUGGAAUUCCUGGUGUAGCGGUGAAAUGCGCAGAUAUCAGGAAGAACACCCGUGGCUAAGGCGGCUCUCUAGUACGGUACUGACGCUGAGACGCGAAAGCGUGGGGAGUGAACAGG